rnacentral:rRNA from 1 species
AUUGAACGCUGGCGGAAUGCUUUACACAUGCAAGUCGAACGGCAGCACGGGGCAACCUGGUGGCGAGUGGCGAACGGGUGAGUAAUACAUCGGAACGUGCCCAAUCGUGGGGGAUAACGUAGCGAAAGUUACGCUAAUACCGCAUACGAUCUACGGAUGAAAGCGGGGGACCGCAAGACCUCGCGCGAAUGGAGCGGCCGAUGUCAGAUUAGGUAGUUGGUGGGGUAAAGGCUCACCAAGCCAACGAUCUGUAGCUGGUCUGAGAGGACGACCAGCCACACUGGGACUGAGACACGGCCCAGACUCCUACGGGAGGCAGCAGUGGGGAAUUUUGGACAAUGGGCGCAAGCCUGAUCCAGCCAUUCCGCGUGCAGGAUGAAGGCCUUCGGGUUGUAAACUGCUUUUGUACGGAACGAAACGGUUCUCUCUAAUACAGGGGGCUAAUGACGGUACCGUAAGAAUAAGCACCGGCUAACUACGUGCCAGCCGCCGCGGUAAAAC